UCUCCGUAGGUGAACCUGCGGAGGGAUCAUUACCGAGUGAGGGCCUCCGGGUCCGACCUCCAACCCCUUUGUUGUACCGCGACCCUGUUGCCUCGGGGGCGACCCGGCCUUCGGGCGUCGGGGCCCCCGGUGGACCACUCAACACUGCAUCUUUGCGUCUGAGUAAAUAUUUGAAUCAAUCAAAACUUUCAACAACGGAUCUCUUGGUUCUGGCAUCGAUGAAGAACGCAGC
rnacentral:misc_RNA from 1 species